AUCUACAAAGCCAAAAGAAGAAAUUCUUACGAAACAGAGCAAUCCUUAAAAAUAAGAUUAAGAUGAAAGAUCGAACGAGACAACGUCUUCCAGGAAUAAGUGUUGAUUAAAGCAGAGGACCUUACUACGAUAGAGAAAUCAUGAAGUUUGACUAAACGUGGCGUGAAAUUCUCUGAAUCGUAAAGGAAUCAAAAGAAAAAAAUCAACAAGAGGAUGAUACAUGUACAUAACAGGAGCACAAGGGAACACUCAGAACAUUAUGAAUAGAGAAUCGUAGACAGCAGGAACACAAGGGAACACACAGAACAUUAUGAAUAGAGAAUCGUAGACAGCGUAAGGCAAUAUAAAAAUAUUUAUAUAAGCUGCAUGAAAAAAACAUAACUACUAUACAAAGUAGAAAUUAUAUAUUAUGUACAUUUGUAAAGUAAAUUAUCUAAAAUUCAUAUGAAAUGUUUUCACUGAGAACUUUUUGUUUGACUGAUUUUGUAAUGCACCAAAAGAUGGAAUGCGUGUUUUAGCAAAAUGUUGUAGGAACACAUGCAAGGCCUUCUUUUGUAAGUAUCCAAUUAUCUCAUAUUAACAAGAUUGUCGUCAUUUCACAAGAAAACAAACUCCAAAUAAACAUUUUAAUAACGUAUUUGUCAAUCAAUGAGUA